UGAUGGAAUGAAUAUUCUGUUCAAAAUAUUGAGAGAAUGACUAUCAUUAAAUCUAAAAAUGGAAAAAUAUUUGCAAUACUGGGAAAAAAUUAUGACAUGUUUGAUAAAUAAAUAAAAUAAUAAUUAUAAUAAAGAAAAAUGUCAUAUUAGUGCAUAUGUGCACAAAAGUUUGUGUAUGUGGCUGUGCAUUUCAGUUAUUUUCCUGUGAGCUUGUUCUUUCCAAGAACGCAAACAUAAUUUGAGUCUAUGAGCUGUUUUUCUUUGGCUCUUUAAAUCAUGAAAGGGUGUUAACUCUAUCCAUUAAAAUAAUCCACCCACUUUUACACACUCUCAUUUGCUUAAGUCUAAAACCGUCUCCAGCAACCAACCUAAACAUGUGAGUAAACAUACUCUCCAAAACACACAUAAUCUGUGAAUCACUUGAGGCAAUUUAGAGCGCUGAUAUUGAUUGUGAGCUGCACAUCUGGAUACUCUUUCCAUAAAGUUUUAAACACUGGGGUUGUGAAGAGGUGACUCAGUAGCUCAUAUAAUAGCUGCGGAGGAUACAGCAGCUGCAAAAGACAUUCACAUGCUCCAACAACUUUAAUAAUGGACUCCUGUUCUGAGACUCCCAGGGUGUGUGGGGAAUUCCAGUCUCCGUGAGGCUGAACAUGUUUAAUCGGUCAUUUCUCCAAGAUCCUAACAGCUGUUCAAGAGGGGAGGAGCAGGAACAAGAGGCCCACCCUAAACUCACCCUGCCUGGACAGACAGCUGGGCAAGACCCUGGC
ensembl:lncRNA